AACGAACGCUGGCGGCAGGCUUAACACAUGCAAGUCGAGCGCCCCGCAAGGGGAGCGGCAGACGGGUGAGUAACGCGUGGGAAUCUACCCAUCUCUACGGAAUAACGCAUGGAAACGUGUGCUAAUACCGUAUACGUCCUUCGGGAGAAGGAUUUAGCGGAGAUGGAUGAGUCCGCGUUGGAUUAGCUAGUUGGUGGGGUAAAGGCCUACCAAGGCGACGAUACAUAGCUGGUCUGAGAGGAUGAUCAGCCACACUGGGACUGAGACAUGGCCCAGACUGCUGAGGGCGGCAGCAGUGGGGAAUAUUGGACAAAGGGCGCAAGCCUGAUCCAGCCAUGCCGCGUGAGUGAUGAAGGCCCUAGGGUUGUAAAGCUCUUUCACCGGUGAAGAUAAUGACGUUAACCGGAGAAUAAGCACCGGCUAACUUCGUGCCAGCCGCCGCAGUAAGAC
rnacentral:rRNA from 1 species